AGAACUGUUGAGACAGAGGGAGCAAUUCUUGAUGCGGUUGCCGUAAAUCCAAGCAUCAGUUGUCAAGUUGGUAGACUGUUAAACAUUCCGUUUAAAACAGUUAAUAGGGUGACGCGUGAUGAAAUGCUAUAUCCAUAUCAUUAUACAAAAGUCCAGUCUAUAUUGCCAGAGAAUGGCUUUUGCUUAAUGGACACUUGAUAAAGAUGUGGACUUUUUCAAAAAAAAUUAUGGGGGGAUGAAUCUUUAUUUACCAUUAACGGAAUUUUUAAUAGGCACAAUCACCAUUAUUACGCAAUAAAUAAUCUAUUUUUGAAUUUUGAAACGGGACGUCAGCACAGAUUUUCGUUGAAUGUAUGGGCUGGAAUAAUAGGAAACCAAUUAAUAGGUCCUCAUAUUUUGCCAGAACGGCUAGAAGUCAGAAGAGAGAUGUGGCUACAAAUGGACGGUGCUGGUCCUUAUUACGCUGUACCAGUUCGAAGAUGGCUUAACGAAAAUUACGAAAAUAGAUGGUUAAGCCGCGGCAGUGCUACUCCUUGGCCGGUUAGGUCUCCAGACUUAAAUCCUAUUGAUUUUUUUAUGGGGCCAUAUCAGAGACAUUAGAGUUUCCACCAGUGCCGGAAACUCUAGCCACUUUGCAAGAAAGAGUUUUUGUAGCCUUUAACUCAGUAACUCCGGACAUGUUCGAACGUACCACAAAUUCUGUUAAAAGACGUGCCGAAGCCUGCUUUUUAGCAAAUGGCAGAACAUUUCAACAUUUAUUAUAAAUUACGUUGUUUUUUUUUAAUUUUACUGUUUAUUAAAUUGCUUUGUUCCUAAAUUAGUUUUCCCUAAUUGUUGUAAAAACAUGUAUCUAUUCCGGUUCCCAAUGAAACAUUUGUACCUGAUACUAAUUUCGACUAUCGCUAUUGAGGUAACAUAGCACAAUGUUGCCGCUUUGGUCAUUACUUUUUAAAGAAUUACUG